AGAGUUUGAUCAUGGCUCAGAACGAACGCUGGCGGCGUGCCUAACACAUGCAAGUCGAACGCUGUUCGACAGGCUCACAGUGGAUCUCAAGAGGGGUUCACCGUGAGCUUGUCGAACGGAGUGGCGGACGGGUGAGUAACACGUAGGUAACCUACCCUUAAGCUGGGGACAACUCAGGGAAACUUGAGCUAAUACCCGAUAAGACCACGGGCAGAGAUGUUUGUGGUAAAAGGAGCGAUUCACUUAGGGAUGGGCCUGCGGCCUAUCAGGUAGUUGGUGAGGUAAUGGCUCACCAAGCCUAAGACGGGUAGCCGGACUGAGAGGUUGGACGGCCACACUGGAACUGAGAUACGGUCCAGACUCCUACGGGAGGCAGCAGUGGGGAAUAUUGCGCAAUGGGGGAAACCCUGACGCAGCGACGCCGCGUGGAGGAUGAAGGUCUUCGGGUUGUAAACUCCUUUUCUCAGGGAAAAUGAUGAUGGUACCUGAGGAAUAAGCCACGGCUAACUCUGUGCCAGCAGCCGCGGUAAGACAGAGGUGGCGAGCGUUGUUCGGAAUUACUGGGCUUAAAGGGCGAGUAGGCGGUAGAGCAAGUCUGAGGUGGAAUCCUAUGGCUUAACCAUAGAAUUGCCUCGGAAACUGUUUUACUUGAGUCAGUGAGGGGAGGGCGGAAUUCCUGGUGUAGCGGUGAAAUGCGUAGAUAUCAGGAGGAAGGCCUGUGGCGAAGGCGGCCCUCUGGUACUGUACUGACGCUGAGGCGCGAAAGCGUGGGUAGCAAACAGGAUUAGAUACCCUAGUAGUCC
rnacentral:rRNA from 1 species